rfam:Branchiostoma floridae genomic scaffold BRAFLscaffold_243, whole genome shotgun sequence.
GUUUAUCUGUGUGUGAAUGGUGUUCAGCACCAAGGACAGGUGUGUUUACGUGUGUGUGGGUGGUGUUCAGCACCAGGGACAGGUGUGUUCACCU